rnacentral:lncRNA from 1 species
GCUUAGGGCGGUAAUAAGGGAUCGAAGAGGAUAGCAUUCUUGAAUGGGAAACAUUGGUGGCGCCACAGCUGGCUGGUGGCGACUUCAAGACCCACUGGAAGGCUGGGAUUGGCAGCCAUGACUCAUAAGGGCGGAAUACCACGGGGAUCGGUUUGUCUGGCGAACUUGAGUGAAGGGUCAAGAUCUGGAUUUCACCUUUCCUCUGAGCUUCCUGAUAACCCGGACGUUCCGUAAACCCGGAUCCGGAGCCGAAAGUGGUGCCCAGAUCCCGUCUCGGAAUUCAUUUGUUCAGCAUUUACCUUUUGAACGCCGGUUUCCUGUAGGAAGUGUCGCCUAGCUGAUCCGUGUAGGGCUGUUGGGAAUUGGGGGUGGGGAGGAUGGUGCGGGUACGUUCUGGUGUGGCUUAAGAAAGUGGUAAUAGAUAGGGGAAGACCAGAUUAUGCGAAGCCUUGUAAAUUAAUUGAUUUUUAUCCUUAAGGCAAUGAAAAGUCUUUGAAGAAUCUCAGAAUUGAGGAGAAUCAAGGAGAGCAGUUGUGAGGCUCUUUUCCAGGCAAGGAUGAUGAUGGUCUGCCUGUGGAAGGGAGAGUGCGGAUGGGGAGAUACAGAUUGGUUUAAGAGGUACGAAUGUUGUGACUUGGACAACUGGGGAAUAAUGAUACCAGUUUCUUUCUCGUUUAGGGGGGAGAUAAUGAGUUUUAGGUGCCCCUGGGAUAUUAGCUAAUGUGGGUUGGGAACUCAAAAGAAAGGUUUGAGGUGUGUGUGCGUGUGCAUAUAGAUAGCUGUUGAAGCCAUGAAGUGGGCUGGAGAGGAUACCUGCAUUUGCGGGAUAGGAUGAGGGAAGCCGAAAAGAACACUGAGAAGGGGCAAACCGAAAGGAAAGAAGAAAACCAUAGAGAACUAUCAAGGAAACUGGUGAAAGCGUUUAGUGUAACAGAGAUAUAGUAAAAUGCUAACUAAAAUAUAUACAUCAGGGCCGGGCAUGGUGACUCACACCUGUAAUCCUAGCUUUGGGAGGGAGUUUGAGGUUGCAGUGAGUCCUGAUGGCACCAUUGCACUCCAACCUGAGUGACAUAGCGAGACCCUGUUUCAAAAAAAAAGAAGAAGAAUGCUACCCUCUCCCAGUCCUUACUAUGGCCCUGAAGCUGCCAUCAACAAAAACCUGUUUUUCUAGAAAUGGUGAAAUUAAGGAAUUGAAAGUGGGAGUAUUCGUUGGAGUUGGAGGUCAGGAACUAACUGUAUUUUUCAUGGGUUUUUGUAAAACCUCCCAGGAUGAUAGUAAGAGUUGGCACAAAAAGAGGUUAAUAGGUGCUGAAGGCUGGGUUUGGAGGAUCACUUGAGCCCAGGAGUUUGAGGCUGCAGUGAGCUAUGAUUAUUGCCACUGCACUACAAAAAGAAAAAGAAAAAAAAAAGGUGUUAAAGGGCAGUAAAGCCAGAUGGCAUAAGCUUCAAAGGGAGAAGAAUUUUUGCAAGAGGAUGGAAGCACAGUGGUCUAAAAGUAGCAGUGGGUAGCAAAGAGAAAGCUGAUACCUUGCCACGCCUUCCUACAGGAGCAAGAAUAAACAGCCUGUAGAAGGUUGAAGGGAAAAGGUGUUCAUUAAUUGGGGAAAGUAAAAAAUUUCUACCUCACCUCUGACCAUUUUUUCCUCUAUACCCACUGGAACACUUUUCUUUUGUAAACAAUCUCCCUUAUGUAUUCAUUGCAGGCUCACAUUUCCACUGUGUCCUUAACUGUAGUUUUCAACUCCCUGUAAUUCUCAGUAAUUAGAAAGGCCUUUUUACUAUCCUUAGAUAAAUCUCUUUGUAACUUCCAUGUAUUGGUUCUGUUUUUUCUCUCUGGGUCAACACAUCAUAGCCACAUGUCCCUACUAAAUAUUUUUUUACAAGUCAGUGGUAGUACCAGUUUAGAGUAAAGCAGAUCUGUUCUCUUUCUUGAUCUGAAUACUCUAUUAAGGCUGCUUGUCCUAGUCCAUGUUCCUUCCCAGGUCUGCCAGAUUAAUCUUUUCAAACCAGAUAUUCCCUUAAGAAGUCUCUAUCUUGCUAGCACUAGCCCCUUGUCACAAGUAUCCUCUUGACUCUUCCAGGGCCACUCGGAUCCCUGUGUCCCUACCAGGGCUUUACUCUUCUGCUUUACUCUGCAGGGACUUGCUGACCUGAUGAUCUGCUCUAUUCUUGGUUUCCUAUUAACUCUAAGCUGCCCCAGUUACUCAUUUUCAUCCAGGCAUUAUACUACUGGCUCCUCCUAAUUUCAGUUCAGCUUGGAACCUAGCUCUAAGUCCAGAACUAGAAUUUAUUGCAGUUCUGGCUUCUAUGGCUCCCGAAUAAAAGAGUAGGGACCUCGGCCACACAUGGUGGCUCAUACCUGCAGUCCCAGGACUUUGAGAGGCUGAGGCGGGUGGAUUGCUUGAGUCCAGGAGUUCAAGACCAGCCUGGGUAACAUGGCCAAACCCUGUCUCUACAGAAAAAAAUACAAAAAUUAGGCAUGGUGGCAUGUGCUUAUAGUUCCAGCUACUCAGAAGGCUGAGGUGGAAGGAUCACUUGAGCCUGGAAAGCCGAGGUUGCAGUGAGCCAAGAUCGCACCACUGCACUCCAACCUGGGUGACAGAGCCAGACCCUGCUGCCUCAAAAAAAAAAAAGAAAAAGAAAAAAGGAGUAGGGACCACAAUCAGUUGCUGAAUCCUAGUGAUCUGCUGUUCAAGUCGCCUCAACCUGUUCCCUUUUCUUCAUUCCCCAGCUCUGACCCUCACUAAUAUGACAGGCAAGUUCCUUAACUUCUCUAAACUUGUUUUCUUAUCUGUGAAAGAAAUAUAACAUCCACCUUACAGAU